AACUUUGUGCAGUGGCAGUAUUGUAGCCAAUGAGGCUUACCCGAGGUGCAAUUAUUGCUAAUUGAAGAAUAUAUUUAUGCCCUAACUGGUUUGACUCAGUGGAUAGAGUGUUGGCUC
ensembl:snRNA U4 U4 spliceosomal RNA